UCAGUCACUAAUGGCCAAUGAUUGAGUCAGUCAUGUGUAUGUAAUAAGGCCUCCAUAAAAACCGAAGAGGAUGGGGUUUGCAGAGCUUCUAGGCUGGUGAGCACUUGGAUGUGCUGGAGGCAUCCAGAGGGUGGAGCACGUGGAGAGGGCAUGAAUGCUCAGUGCACCUUCCCUCAUACCUUGCCUUAUACAGCGUUUCCAUCUGGCUGCUGUUGAGUUUUAUUCUUUAUAACAAUAUGCUAACCCUAAGCAAAGUUUUCCUGAGUUCUGUGAGCCAUUCUAGCAAAUGGUGGAACCUGAGAAAGGGGACAUGGGAAUCUCUGACUUACAGCCAGUCAGCCCGAAGCACAGGAUACCAAAAUCAUCAUACCAGAGACAUGAAUCUCCCUCAUUUGGCAUCCCAGGAGGCCUGGAUCAGUUUCACUGUGAAUGCUCCGCCGCUCAACCACACAAGCACCCUUCCUCCAGGCCCAGGGGAUACUGCAGAAGAGUUCUGGAGACUGCAAAUGGAAGAUUAAGGCACUAGCAAGUUUUGUGUCUGAUGAGGACCUGAUCUCUGUUUCCAAGUUGGUACGUUGUUGCUGGGUCCUCCAGAGGGGACAAACACUAUGUUAUCACACGACAGAGAUGGAAGGGCAAAAGGGCUUAGCUAGUUCCCUCCAGUCUUUACAUGUGACAUUAAUCUUAUUCAUGAGGGCUUCACCCUCAUGGCCUAUUUGCCUCCUAAAGGGCCUACCUCUUAAUAUUAUUACAUUGGGAAUUCAAGUUUCAAUGAAUUUUGAAGUGGAAACAUAU
rnacentral:lncRNA from 1 species